GGGUUGUGAGGUUAAGCGACUAAGCGUACACGGUGGAUGCCCUGGCAGUCAGAGGCGAUGAAGGACGUGCUAAUCUGCGAUAAGCGCCGGUAAGGUGAUAUGAACCGUUAUAACCGGCGAUUUCCGAAUGGGGAAACCCAGUGUGACUCGUCACACUAUCAUUAACUGAAUCCAUAGGUUAAUGAGGCGAACCGGGGGAACUGAAACAUCUAAGUACCCCGAGGAAAAGAAAUCAACCGAGAUUCCCCCAGUAGCGGCGAGCGAACGGGGAGGAGCCCAGAGCCUGAAUCAGCAUGUGUGUUAGUGGAAGCGUCUGGAAAGGCGCGCGAUACAGGGUGACAGCCCCGUACACAAAAGCGCAUGUGCUGUGAGCUCGAUGAGUAGGGCGGGACACGUGGUAUCCUGUCUGAAUAUGGGGGGACCAUCCUCCAAGGCUAAAUACUCCUGACUGACCGAUAGUGAACCAGUACCGUGAGGGAAAGGCGAAAAGAACCCCGGCGAGGGGAGUGAAAAAGAACCUGAAACCGUGUACGUACAAGCAGUGGGAGCACCCUUUGGGGUGUGACUGCGUACCUUUUGUAUAAUGGGUCAGCGACUUAUAUUCUGUAGCAAGGUUAACCGAAUAGGGGAGCCGGAGGGAAACCGAGUCUUAAUUGGGCGUUAAGUUGCAGGGUAUAGACCCGAAACCCGGUGAUCUAGCCAUGGGCAGGUUGAAGGUUGGGUAACACUAACUGGAGGACCGAACCGACUAAUGUUGAAAAAUUAGCGGAUGACCUGUGGCUGGGGGUGAAAGGCCAAUCAAACCGGGAGAUAGCUGGUUCUCCCCGAAAGCUAUUUAGGUAGCGCCUCGUGAAUUCAUCUCCGGGGGUAGAGCACUGUUUCGGCUAGGGGGCCAUCCCGGCUUACCAACCCGAUGCAAACUGCGAAUACCGGAGAAUGUUAUCACGGGAGACACACGGCGGGUGCUAACGUCCGUCGUGAAGAGGGAAACAACCCAGACCGCCAGCUAAGGUCCCAAAGUCAUGGUUAAGUGGGAAACGAUGUGGGAAGGCCCAGACAGCCAGGAUGUUGGCUUAGAAGCAGCCAUCAUUUAAAGAAAGCGUAAUAGCUCACUGGUCGAGUCGGCCUGCGCGGAAGAUGUAACGGGGCUAAACCAUGCACCGAAGCUGCGGCAGCGACGCUGAUGCGUUGUUGGGUAGGGGAGCGUUCUGUAAGCCUGUGAAGGUGGCCUGUGAGGGUUGCUGGAGGUAUCAGAAGUGCGAAUGCUGACAUAAGUAACGAUAAAGCGGGUGAAAAGCCCGCUCGCCGGAAGACCAAGGGUUCCUGUCCAACGUUAAUCGGGGCAGGGUGAGUCGACCCCUAAGGCGAGGCCGAAAGGCGUAGUCGAUGGGAAACGGGUUAAUAUUCCCGUACUUGGUGUUACUGCGAAGGGGGGACGGAGAAGGCUAUGUUGGCCGGGCGACGGUU
rnacentral:rRNA from 1 species